AGCUACCAUACAGAGCCUAUGGGUUACUAGGACAGCCAGUGAAACUUAGUUCCCUCUCCUCCUGGCUGGUUGUGAGCCAGAACACAGGACAACGAACCCAGGGAAUCUGAGUUCACUUAAUUAGUGAACUGACCUGAAACACAACUUUGGACCCUUCAGGUAUUUUUCAAUGAGUCAAAGAGGACAUAUGACAAGGUGUGAAGCGAUCAACAUGAAUCCACCACAACUACUGGGAAACAAGUUUAAGAAUCCUCUCUACACCUGAAUUGAACUACUCAGUUUCCUGGAAAUAAACCACGUGAAUAUUCAUCUCCAUGUCUUUGUUUGCACAGUAUCUUUUACAGAGAAUAUACUCCUGCCCAACUGUUCACAUUAUCUCGAUUCUGGUCUACCUUCAAAAGCCAGGUGUGAGGUUAAUUUUCCAAUCAUUUUGCUCCAUAGUGGUAUCUCUGUAAGUUCUCAUGAUGUUCAUUAAUUGUAUCACUGAUUUAACACUUAGCAUGUUCUAUUCUGUGUAAUUAUUUAUCUUAUUAUCAGUAUUAUUAUCUUAGCUAGUCCCCAGUUAUACCAUAAAUUCUUUGAGUAUUUAUUGCCUUUACUUCUUUAAAGUAUAUUUAAGGUGGUAGGUGUUUAAUACAUUCUUGUUGCUGCUAAAGUUUUGCUGAUGGUAAUUGAAAUAUUGAAAUGCUCAAUAACUAUUUUUCAUUUCCUGUUUCAACACAUGCUUAAUGUGGGAUUGUCAUCCAAUGUAGAUCAAGAAGGGUUAAGUGAGCAAGCAUUGUUAUACCAACAAAAGCCCUAUUGAAAGAUAUUUCAAGUAUUGUAUAUGGAAUUGGAGAAUGUUAGUCCUAGAAGACCACCCCUGUAUCAUACAUUCUGUAGAAAAUGAAAUGAAUGCCUAGAGAAGAGAUGUGUCUUGCCUAAAGUAAUGUAGCUAAUUAGUUGCAGAGCCAGUAGUAGAACUCGGCUUCCUUCUUAUUUUGAGAUUCUGGUACAUUGGUUGGCAGGAGGAAAGGGCCAAAUAAAAUUGGGAAAGUUAGAAUGAGAUGCCUUUUUUCUCUCUGCAAGAGGAAAAUACCAUUGAAUUAACUCCUUUGCCACAGAGGACUAGAAAUAUACAUAUUUUAGACUUAACAAAGAGAAAUAAAUAUGGUGAUGCAAUGAAGACACCUAUUAAUGUAAGACUAAAAACAUAUCUGCUGUUGCUCUUCAGUCACAUCUAGUCCUCCAUGACUCUAUUUGAAGUUUUCCUGGCAAAGAUACUGAUGUGACUUGACAUUUCCUUCUCCAGCUCAUUUAUCAAAUGAGGAAACUGAGGUAAACAGGAUUAAGCAACUUUUUCAGUCACACAGCUAGUAUCUUGAAGUUAGAUUUGAACUAAGAAGGUGAGUUUUCUUGACUCCAAGCCCAGCACUUUCCCCACUAUACCGCCUAGCUGCCCUAAAUAUAUAU